rnacentral:rRNA from 1 species
GCAAGUCGAGCGAGAAAGCCUUCGGGUGAGUAGAGCGGCGGACGGGUGAGUAACGCGUGGGAAUCUACCGAAUAGUGGGGGACAACAGUUGGAAACGGCUGCUAAUACCGCAUACGCCCUACGGGGGAAAGAGGGGGAUCUUAUGACCUCUUGCUAUUUGAUGAGCCCGCGUUAGAUUAGCUAGAUGGUAGGGUAAAGGCCUACCAUGGCGACGAUCUAUAGCUGGUCUGAGAGGAUGAGC